CUGAAAACCACUGUUUGAGACAGCAUACAUUCCCAGGACUGCAGACCACUGGACCAAACUUCUAGGAAACAAGACUUGUGCACCCUGGUCACAAAAGAUUGUGACUUCCAUCCUGUUGGCCGACCCUCUCUCCGGCCUUCUCAGCUUGCAAAUUCCAUGAAACAAGCUGCCAUGCUGGCAAGGACCACAUGGCAAGGAAUUGAGAGCAUCCUCUGGCCAGCAGCAAGCUAGGAACCGAGGUCCGCAGUCCAACAACCCUCGAGGGACUGAAUUCUGCCAACAGCCUUGUGAACUUGGAUGUGGAUCCUUCCCCAAGUGAGCCUUCAGAGGAGAUGCCAACCCUGGUCAAAUCUUUGGUUACAGCCUGUGAGCGAUUCCAAAGCAAAGGAGCUGGCUAAGUUUUGUGCCCUGACUCUGGCCCACGGAAACUGAGAUAAUAAAAGAGUAUUGUUUUGAACCAUGA